CAAGGUAAAAUGUUUAGCCUUGGCCUUUGAACCACUGCUAAAUGAAAACAGCAAAUGAUUUGGUUUAGUCAUAUAAAGAUCUUUAACUUAUCAGUUAAAAUUUUACUCAGGAAAGUAUGACAGGUUGUUACAUAAUGCUGCAGGAGAACUAAUUAAUUAAUAACAGAGUUUCUUGCCUUCAUGGGAAGACUGCCAGUUUGGGGACUUCAUCUCUCCUGUUCCAGCCUAUCAUUCAUUCAUCCUUGUAUAAAAACAAGUCUCAUUUAAAGACAAAUUCUUAUUCAUGUUUUGUUGUUGAGCUGUUUUGUUGUACUUUUUUCUGCUCCAAUGCCUACUACCAUGUUUUACUUGAGGAUCCUAUGCUCUCUUGAAGCUCCACACCUGGAGUGUGUCACUGGUGACUGUGUGCCUAGGCAAACAGUACCCUGGCACUGGAAAGACUGGACUUUUUCAUUCUGACUGGAGAAAAAGGCGGAAGAUACUGUAAAGGGAAGAAGAUUAUUGUGGAGCAGAUAGCCUGAAAACAUGAUUAAUUUGUUUAAGAAAAAGAAGAACAUGAAGAAAAUAGCUUGGAGUAAGAGUCAAGCAGAGGGAAGUAUUUGUCUCUUUCUAAUAACAGAAGUAGUGUUUUGUGAUUUUGUUACUGGUUUUGUUCCCUUGUGAAUAAAUUAUUUUAAAGCUGGUUAUUUUUAUAAUUGAAAACAAGGACAGUACUAGAAAGUAGAAAGUAAGGUCAAGAAGAUUGAAG